rnacentral:rRNA from 1 species
AGAGUUUGAUCAUGGCUCAGAUUGAACGCUGGCGGUAUGCUUAACACAUGCAAGUCGAACGGUAACAGGAAAAGCUUGCUUUUCGCUGACGAGUGGCGGACGGGUGCGUAAUGCGUAGGAAUCUGCCUAGUAGUGGGGGACAACUCGGAGAAAUUCGAGCUAAUACCGCAUAAGCCCUACGGGGGAAAACGGGGGAUCUUCUGACCUCGUGCUAUUAGAUGAGCCUACGUUAGAUUAGCUUGUUGGUGAGGUAAAAGCUCACCAAGGCGACGAUCUAUAGCUGGUCUGAGAGGAUGAUCAGCCACACUGGGACUGAGACACGGCCCAGACUCCUACGGGAGGCAGCAGUGGGGAAUAUUGGACAAUGGGCGAAAGCCUGAUCCAGCAAUACCGCGUGUGUGAAGAAGGCCUGAGGGUUGUAAAGCACUUUCAAUUGGGAGGAAUACCUAAUGGUUAAUAGCCAUUAGAUUGACA